rnacentral:rRNA from 1 species
ACGGGGUGCAGCAGGCGCGAAAACUUCACACUGGGGGGAACCCCGAUGAGGGAAAUCCUAGUGCUAGGACAUUUGUUCUAGCUUUUCUCAAGCGUAGAUAACUUGAGGAAUAAGGGCUGGGUAAGGCGGGUGCCAGCCGCCGCGGUAAUACCUGCAGCCCAAGUGGUGGUCGAUUUUAUUGAGUCUAAAACGUUCGUAGCCGGUUUGGUAAAUCUUUGGGUAAAUCGGGAGGCUCAACUUUCCGACUUCCGAAGAGACUGCCAAACUUGGGAACCGGGAGAGGCUAGAGGUACUUCUGGGGUAGGGGUAAAAUCCUGUAAUCCUAGAAGGACCACCGGUGGCGAAGGCGUCUAGCUAGAACGGAUCCGACGGUGAGGGACGAGGCCCUGGGUCGCAAACGGGAUUAGAUACCCCGGUAGUCCAGGGUGUAAACGCUGCCGACUUGGUGUUGGAGGCCCUUCGGGGGCAUUCAGUGCCGGAGAGAAGUUGUUAAGUCGGCUACUUGGGGAGUACGUCCGCAAGGAUGAGACUUAAAGGAAUUGGCGGGGGAGCAC